GACGUAGGAUGCAAGCGUUGUCCGGAUUUAUUGGGCGUAAAGAGUUCGUAGGCGGUUCGUUAAGUCUGAUGUUAAAUAUCGGGGCUCAACCUCGGGAGUGCAUUGGAUACUGGCGGACUGGAGUGUGGUAGAGGUUAGUGGAAUUCCCAGUGUAGCGGUGAAAUGCGUAGAUAUUGGGAAGAACACCAGUGGCGUAGGCGACUAACUGGGCCAUAACUGAUGCUGAGGAACGAAAGCCAGGGGAGCGAACAGG
rnacentral:rRNA from 1 species